UUUCGUUAUGCACGCCUCAGUGAUCAGUCACAAAUCACCACACCUUACGAACAUCUAACACAAUAACCUAUUUUUUUUCUUGCCAGUCUGUUAAUUUUAGGAUCGAAGGACAAAUCUCAGAGAGCUCUGCAAGAAGAAUUACACCGUUCGAUGCGCUUGGUUAUGAAUUUAAACAACGAGAAAGGGUAUGAUGGCGGAAGGAAAACUUUCCUCACCAUAUUCUGUAUCUGGUGGAUGGUUUAUGGAUGUACGACAGGACUUGGAAAAUCUACAGAAUCAGGUCGAAGGACAUCAGACUAUACCACACCAGUUACUACAGAAACCGGGGCUUCUACAGCAAAAGAUGUGCAAUCAACAAUAAAAAUUCAAGAUUUAACAUCAACACCAAUUUCUGAAAUCACAAAAAAAAAGGAUCCAAAAGACACAAAAACAGCACAAUCAAAAACAAUUUAUACAACUACAACUAUAAUGGAAACAACAACUUUGGAUACAAAAAGCAUGUUUUCAGCAUCCUCAACUAUAGCACCAAAAUUGAUGACUGAUACAGACACCACCUCUCCAUCAUAUUCAACUGUAGUACCAACAUCAACAACAACAGAUGAAGCAACAAUAACUCUGUUUGACAGUACAACAACUACAGAUGAAACGAUAGAUUUGGCUUCCACAACCAACCCUCCAACAUCUUCAAUCAUAGCACCAACAUCAAUUACAACUGAUGCACAAACCACAACUCUGUCUGACACUAAAACAGCUGCUGAUGAAACAAAAAAUAUGGCUUCCACAACAACUCCUCCAUCAUCCUCAAAUACAGCAGCAACUUCAACAACUGAUGCAGUAACCACAAUAAUUGACACCACUAUAACUAUUGAUAGAAAAACAAAUUUGGCUUCUACAACCACCAUUCCAAUGUCAACAACAGAUGCAUCAACCACAACUAUGCCUGACACCAUAACAACUAUUUAUUCAACAACAAAGCUGGCUUACACAACCCCCCCCCCAACAUCCUCAACUAUAGAACCAGCAUCAAUAACUGAUGCAUCAACCACAACGCUGUCUGACGCCACAAUAACUACUGAUGCAACAAGUUUGGCUUCCACAACCACCCCUCCAAAAUCCUCAACUAUAGUGUCAAAAAUAGAGGGAGCAACCACAACUACAGCUGACUCCACAACAACUAUUGAUGCAACUACAACUUUUGCUACAACAACCGAUGCAUCAACAGCAACUCUGGCUGACACCACAACAACAACUGAUGCAACAACAAUUUUCUCUUCCACAACCACACCUCUGACAUCGACCACUAUGGCACCAGCAUCAAUAUCUGAUGCAGCAACCACAACUAUGCCUGACACCAAAACAACAAUUGAUACAACAACAUCUUUGGCAACCACCUUUCCAACAUCCUCAAUGGUUAAAACAACGUCAAGAACAUCUGAUGCAGCAACCACAAGUAUUCCUGACACCACAACAAUGAUAGAUGCAACAACAACUUUGGCUUCCACAAUCAUUCCUGCAACAUCCUCAACUGUAGUGCCAGUUUCAACAACAACUCAUGCAUCAACAACAACUAUGUCUGACACCACAACAACAAUUGAUACAACAACAAUUGAUACAAUAACAUCUUUGGCUUCCACAACCACCUUUUCAACAUCCUCAAUGGUUAAACCAACGUCAACAUCAUCUAAUGCAGCAACCACAAGUAUUCCUGAUACCACAACAAUGAUAGAUGCAACAACAACUUUGGCUUCCACAAUCAUUCCUACAACAUCCUCAACUGUAGCGCCAGUAUCAACAACAAUUCAUGCAUCAACAACAACUAUGUCUGACACCACAACAACAAUUGAUACAACAACAGUUGAUACAAUAAUAUCUUUGGCUUCCACAACCACCUUUUCAACAUCCUCAACGGUUGAACCAUCGUCAACAACAUCUGAUGCAGCAACCACAAGUAUUCCUGACACCACAACAAUGAUAGAUGCAACAACAACUUUGGCUUCCACAAUCAUUCCUACAACAUCCUCAACUGUAGUGCCAAUAUCAACAACAACUGAUGCAUCAAAAACAACUAUGUCUGACACCACAACAACAAUUGAUACAACAGCAAUUGAUACAACAACAUCUUUGGCUUCCACAACCACCUUUUCAACAUCCUCAACGGUUGAACCAACGUCAACAACAACUUUGGCUUCCACAAUCACUCCUACAACAUCCUUAAAUGUAGCGCCAGUAUCAACAACAACUGAUGCAUCAACAACAACUCUGUCUGACACCACAACAACAACUGAUGCAACAAAAAUUUUGGCUUCCACAACCACACCUCUGACAUCGAGCACUAUAGCACCAGCAUCAACAUCUGAUGCAGCAACCACAACUAUGCCUGACACCACAACAACAAUUGAUACAACAACAUCUUUGGCUUCCACAACCACUUUUCUAACAUCCUCAACGGUUGAACUAAUGUCAACAACAUCUGAUGCAGCAACCACAAGUAUUCCUGAUACCACAACAAUGAUAGAUGCAACAAAAACUUUGGCUUCCACUUUCACUCCUACAACAUUCUCAACUGUAGCGCCAGUAUCAACAACAACUGAUGCAUCAACAACAACUCUGUCUGACACCAAAACAACAACUAAUGCAACAACAAUUUUGGCUUCCACAACCACAACUCUGACAUCGAGCACUAUAGCACCAGCAUCAACAUCUGAUGCAGCAACCACAACUAUGCCUGACACCACAACAACAAUUGAUACAACAAAAUCUUUGGCUUCCACAACCACCUUUUCAACAUCCUCAACGGUUGAACCAUCGUCACCAACAUCUGAUGCAGCAACCACAACUAUGCCUAAAACCACAACAACAAUUGAUACAACAACAUCUUUGGCUUCCACAACAACCUUUCUAACCUCCUCAACGGUUGAACCAACGUCAACAACAUCUGAUGCAGCAACCACAAGUAUUCCUGAUACCACAACAAUGAUAGAUGCAACAACAUCCUCAACUGUAGCACAAACACUGACAACUCAUGCUACAACCACAACUAUGUCUGACAGCACAACAACUAUUGAUGCAACAACAACUAUGGCUUCCACAAACACCCCUCCAACAUUCUCAACUGCAGUACCAACGUCAACAACUGUAACACCAAUGUCAACAACUGAUGCAGCAACCAUAACUAUGCCUGACACCACAACAACUAUUGAUGCAAUAACAGUUUUGGAUUCCACAACAAUAUCAUCAACAUUCUCAGCUGCAGCAAAAAUGCUGACGUCUGAUGCAGCAACCAAAAUGAUGCAUGACAUCACCACAGCUGCUGAUGCAAUAACAUCUUUGGCUUCCACAACCAACCAUCCAACAUCCUCAACUGUAGGACCAGCAUCAGCAACCACACAUGUGGCAGACACUGCAACAACUAUUGACAUUGCAGUACCAACAUCGACAACUGUGGCACCAGUGUCAACAACUGAUGAAGCAACAACCAUUAUGCCUAACACCACAAAAACUACUGAUGCAACAACAACUUUGGCUUCCACAACAACUCCUCCAGCAUCUUCAACUGUAGCACAAAUUUUGACAACUGAUGCAGCAACAACAACCAUGCCUGACACCACAAAAACUACUGAUGCUGAAACAACUUUGGAUUCCACAACCACCCCUCCAGGGUUAACAGGUCAUGCAACAACCCCAACUAUGCCUGACAUCACAACAAAUAUUUAUGCAACAACAACUUUGGCCAUAACCACCCAUCCAACAUCCUCAACUGUGGCACCAUUGUCAACAACAAAUGUUGCAUCAACCACAAGUAUGCUUUACACCACAGCAACUACUGAUGUGACAGCAACUUUGGCUCCUACAACCACUUCUCCAGAUUCCUCAACAGUGGCAAAAACAUUGACAACUGAUGCAGCAACCAUAACUAUGUCUAACAGCACAACUAUUUAUGCAACUACUUUGGCUUCCAUAACCACCUCUGUAGCAUCCUCAACUGCAGUACCAACAUCGACAACUGAUGGAACAACAACUAUGCCUGACUUUACAACAAUUAUUGAUGCAACAACUUUAGAUAGCACAUCCACCCUUUCAACAUCUUCAACUGUGGCACCAAUGUCAACAAAAACUGAAGUGGCAACCACAAUUCUCUCUGACACCACAGAAACUACUGAUGCAAAAACAAAUUUGGCUUCCGGAACCAUUCCUCAAAUAUCAUCAACUAUAGCACCAGCAUCAUCAACUGAUGCAGCAACCACAACUAUGCCAGACACAGCAACAUCUUUGCUUAGUGAAAGCAUCCCUCCAACAUCCUCAACUGUAGCACCAUCAACUGAUGCAGCAACCACAACUGUGCCAGACACAACAUCUUUGCUUAGCGCCAGCAUCCCUCCAACAUCCUCAACUGUAGCAUCAUCAGCUGGGUUAGCAACCACACCUAUGCCUGACAACACAAUAGCACUUCCAAAAACAACUACUGGUGCAACAACAACAAUUUUGGCUACCACAAGCACUACUCCAACAUCCUCAAAUGUAGCACCAACACUGACAACUGAUUCGGCAACUAAAACUAAGCUUGAAUCCUCAACCACUAUUGGUGUAACAACAAGAACCCCUCAAAUAUCCUCAACUAUGCUCAAGCCUUACAUCACAACAAUUAUUGAAACAACAACAAAUUUGGUUUCCAAAACCACUAAUCCAACAUUCACAACCACAGCACAGGUGUUGACAAGUGACUCAGCAAUGACAACUAUUGCUGACGCAACAACAGUACUUCCAACAACAACUAGUCAUGAAACAACAACCUUGGCUAUCACUAGCACCCCUCUAGAGUCCUCAUCUAAUGUAGCAACCACAACUUUGCCUGAACAUACAACAACUACUGGUGCAAAUACAACAACAACAACAACAAAUAAUAUUGAUGCAGCAGUCACAACUAUGUCUGAAAUAACAACAGUGUUUCCAACAAAUGCUACUAUUGUUGAGACAACAACAACUUUGGUUUCCACAACAACAAACAAUCCUACAACAAUUACUGUGGCUGAAACCACAACAUAUCUUCCAAAUACAGCUACUGGCGAGACAAUAACAACUUUGGCCACAUCUCCAACAUCCUUAUCUAUAGCACAAAAGUUGACUGACACAACCAUCCCUUCAACAUCCUCAAAUAUAGCACCAAAAUCAACAACUGAUGCAGCAACCACAACUUCACCUAAAACAACAACAGUACUUUCCAAAACAACUAUUAGUGCAACAGCUUUGGCUGCCAAAAGUACCCCUCCAGUGUCCUCAUCUGUAGCACCAACAUUGACAACUGAUGCAGCAAACGCAACUAUGGCUGAAACAGAAACAGUUCUUCCAACAAAAACUUUUGGUGCAACAACAAAAUCUGUUCUAGCACCAACAAUGACAUCUGAUGCAACAAUCAGAACUUUGCCUGAAACAUCAAUGGUAUUUUCAAAAACAACUAUUGGUGCAACAACAACAACUUUGACUAUUACAAGUGCUCCUCCAGCAUCCUCAUCUUUUGCACCAACUUUGACUACUGGUGCGGCAGUCACAACUAUUCCUGAAACAAAAAAAGUCCAUCCAGCAACAACUGUUGGUGCAACAACAGCUUUGUCUACAUUAUCUGUUCUAGCACCAAUGUCAGCAUCUGAUGCUGCUUCCACAACUAUGGCUGACACCACAACAAAUAUUGAUUCAAAAACAUCAACUUUGACUCCCACAAGCACUCCUCCAACAUCCUCAACUGUAGCACAGUUCUCAAAAUCUGAUGCAACAACCACUACUAUGCUUGGAACGACAACAGUCCUUCCAGCAAAGCCUAUUAGUGCAACACCAACAACUUUGGUUAACACAAGCACCCUUGCAACAUCUUCACUUGUAGAACCAAUGUUGACAGCUGAUGCAGCAAUCACAACUAUGGCUGACACCACAACAAUUACUGGUGCAACAACAAAUUUUGCCAACACAAGCACCCCGCCAAUAUCAUCAGUUAUACCACCAACGUCAACAUCUGAUGUGGCAGCCAAAACUAUGGCUGACACCACAACAAGUAUUGGUGCAACAGCAACAACUUUGACAACCACAACUAUGGCUGACACAACAACAAAUAUUGGUGCAACAACAGCAAAUUUGGUUAACACAAGCACUCCUCCAACAUCCUCAACUGUAGCACAAUUGUUGACAACUGAUUCAGCAACCACAGCUAUUCCUGAAAUAACAGUGGUACUUCCAACAAUGAUUGGUGCAACAACAACAACUUUGGCUACCAGAAGUACCCUUUCAACAUUCUCCACUCUAGCUCCAACAUCAACAACCGAUACACCAACUACAACUAUGCCUGAAAAAACAUCAGCACUUCUAACAAAUGGUAUUAUUGUUGAGGCAACUAAAACUUUGGUUUCCACAACAACAAACAAUCCAACAUCUACUAUGGCUGAAACCACAACAACCCUUCCAGUAACUUUGGCCACACUUCCAACAUCCUUGACUAUAGAACAAUCUUUGGCUGCUACAACCAUCCCUCAAACAUCAUCAAAUAUAGCACCCAUGUUGACAACUGAUAGAGCAACUACAAAUUCACCCGAAACAGCAACAAUUCUUUCAGCAACAACAAUUGGUGCAACAACAACAACUCUGGCUGCCAAAAGUACCUCUCCAGCAUCCUCAUCUGUAGCACCAACAACUGAUGCAGCAACCACAACUAUGCCUGAAACAACAUCAGUCCUACCAACAACACCUAUUGGUGCAACAACAACUUUGACUACAAGCACCCCUCUAACAUCAUCACUUCUAGAACCAUUGUUGACAUCUGAUGAAGAAACAACAACUGUGCCUAAAACAACAGUUCUUGAAACAACAGUUUUGUUUAACAUAAGCACCCUUGCAACAUCUUCAGUUGCAGCACCAAUGUUGACAACUGAUGCAGUAACCAAAACUAUUGGCGCAACAACAACAAAUAUCGCCAACACAAGCAUCCCUCAAUCAUUCUCAUCUUCAGCACCCUUAUCGACAAUUGAAUCAACAUCCACAACUAUGUUUGAAACAACAACAGUACUUCCUGUUACAACUACUAGUGCAACAACAACUUUGGCUGGCACAAAUACACUUCCAACAGCAACUAUAGGUGAGACAACUAUAAUCUUGGGUCUCAAAACCACAGUAGCUCCUCCAACAUUCUCAACUAUCACACAAAACACCACAACUCAUCCAGAAACUACAACUAUGCCUGCAAUUAAUACAAGUAUUGGUGAAAAAACUACAACUUUGACCCCCACAAGCAUCACAACCCCUCCAACUUUGCUGGAGGAGUCAGUGACAACAACAUCCAAGAAUAUUCAUCCAGCAAGCACAACAAUGUCUGAGAUGAAAAUUACUACCUUCAGUGCAUUAAAAACAGGUAUAACUGAUUCAACAACCACACCUAAUUCUAAAAUCACAACAACUAGUAGUGAAACAAUUACAACCAGAAUGUCCUCCUCAACAUUGUUGGAAGAGCCAACAACAGCACAAUCACAAGCUAUAUCUAAUUUAAAUACAACAACAGUUCCAGUGUUUACAACAACAGCUUUGACUAAUUCUCAGACAGAAAAUAAUCCUACAGUGCACUUCCUAACAUCUACAGCAGUCCUUGGCAAAACAAGCUUACCUCUAAUGAACAGAACUGGUUCAGCACUGGUUACAAGCAAACUGCAGUUUAACUCCUCAUCUCCAGUCCCCAGAGAAACUCAGGUCCUCAGUGUUAUCAAGACUCUUCUCAAAUCCAGAGAGUCACAGCUCAACAAAUCAGUUCAAGUGCUGAAUGUCACCUAUAAAAAUAUCUCAGAGACCUCUUAUGCAAUCAUCUUUACAUUUAACCUGAUUGACAUUAGUAUACCAAAGGACCCUGCAGUAAAGAACAACACCUAUCAGCACCUGCAGAAUGUUAUCAAUAAUAUGUUGAACACACUUCUGAAUGAACCUGGCAGUCAGGUUUUUGAAGCCAAGUCCUCCAAAUUCACGAGCACAGAAAACCACAUUGAGGGCAGUAUGGAAUAUAUCUUCGACAGCAAAGAUCAACCCACCAUUUUGUUGAAGGAGCUUAAUUUACAGAACAGCAUAAUAACAACAACCCUUGCAACACCAGGCACAUCUAAAACCACUAAAGGAACUACAGCUUUGAUUGGGAGGGUGAUUUUUUACAUUCGGCUCAUUUUUAUCACACGGGGCCCCAUACCAAGUGAGAGUCAUGUUCAAAAUUUGGUCAACGUACUGCUGGCCCCACAUCUCAGAGCUAAACAAGACACAGCACAAGCCCUGAAUGAUCCUGUGAGCUAUGUGAAUGCCAGCUAUGAGAAAAUUGCUGAUAAUUCAUAUGCCCUCAAACUUGGCUUUGAGAUCAACAAUCCAUCCAUGGCAGAGAAACUUGAACUCAGGGAUGGCAACUACACAUUCAUUCAAAACUCCAUAAAAAGAAAGCUAAACCAAAUCCUAAGUGACUCUGACACUUCUGUUGAGUUCAACAAAGCCAAUUUCACGAAAAAUUCCAUGGAGGUCAUUGCUGAUAUUGAUUAUAUUUUCCGGCAACAAGACAUCAAGUCACCCAGUGACUUCCUCCAAGAACUUCUCAAAGUUAUGAAUAGCUUAACAACUCCAGCUCCAACAGGGAAUAAAACAACUCAGAAACCUGUACAAACACCAAAUGUGAUUGGGAAGGUGAUUAUUUACAUUCGGCUCAUAUUUAUCACACGGGGCCCUGUACCAAGUGAUGCAAAAAUAUUACAAUUGGCAAACUCUCUGCUGGCCGCACGUUUCAGAAUUAAACGAGAACUAAGGGCACAAAGCUUAGGUACCCCUGUGAGCUUUGUGAAUGUUACUUACACAAAACUUUCUGAUACGUCAUAUUCCCUGAAUUUUGGAUUUGAAAUCAACAAUGUUACCAUGUCUCAGAAACUUGAACUCAGGGAUACAACAUAUAAAUUAAUCCAGGACUCUAUAAAUAAAUUGUUGAACGAGAUCCUAACUGAGCCCACAGCCACUCCAUUUGAGUUCAAAGAUACCAAUUUCACGGGUAAUUCCACCACUAUUCAGGCUGAUGUACAGUAUGUUUUCUCAGAAAACGACAUCCAGAAACCCAGUGCCUUUCUCUAUGCACUUAUUGUGGUUAAUAAUGAGACUAUUACCACUACAACUACACCUGCUGCAACAAGAACCACCUUUUACUCCACAGUGCUGAGCAAUACAAUCACAAAUAACAGCACUAGUGCAGCAUGGGUUGUGGCCAUUAUUGUACCCUGUGCUAUUGUCAUCAUCCUCGUACCUUGCUGGAUUCUCCUUUGUUGUUUACUGUGUGGUUGCUGUACAGCAUUAAGAAGACGGUGGUCCAGAAGACGGUCAUACAAUGUACAAUACACCACUCAUAACAGCCUUUUCUAGAGAGCUCGAGACACAUCAGGAACAUUUUCUAACACUAAUGACUAAUUACUUAUAUUACUAAAUCAAACUGUGAUUGUGGUACUUUAAAGUUUACAUUUAACUUUCCAUAAUGAUUAUGAUAUCUUACAGCUUUUAUAAUGCACUAUUUAUUUUAUUGUGCCUGUAUUGCUGGACAGACAGGAUCUUAAAUUGUGAUUAAUGUAAUUUAUUUUCAGAAUUGUUUAAUGGAUAAAAAAAUGGUAUUUACGAUUUCUGUAAGGUUUAAAAUAUUUGCAUGUUAUAAUAUUUUGUGAUUUCCAAAUAAUUAAUUUAUUUGAUAUUACACAUUUCAUUUUAAGGGGCAAUGUUGGUAAUGUUAAACUUAUUUACACUUUAUGCACUUUAGUUCCAUGUAACUCAAAGGAAAAUCCUUGUGUGCUUUACACACAGAUGUAGAUGUAAAACAGCAGCAACAUCAAUCAACAGUCAUUUUAUCUGCAUAAUUUUAGAUCUCGUUCUUAAUGAUCACUUCUGUUCUGACAAGAUUGUCCUGCAGCUGCUGACAGGAUUUUUUUCUUUUCUUUUUAGUAAGGCAUCACACAAACAGCUUUCUUCACCUUUUAAAUCAAAACAACAUUAAUAAAUUUAAGAACAACUGUAUAUGUAACCA
ensembl:lncRNA